UAGUGUUGCUAAGGUGUGAGUUGUUGGUGAAGUUCAUGAAAUUGAAGGAAGAAAAUGUGUUGUUAUUGUUCUUGUUCCAUUUGGAAGAUUUCGGAUGGCAUAGCAUAUGGGUUGGAUUAUUUUGAAUAUUGUACGGAUUGUUUGAAGUAUUCUUGAAUAGUGUUUGAAUGGUUGCGAAUUAGUACUUGAAUGUGUGAGCAAAUAUGAAGUGAAUAUAAGUGAAACGCCGUUGAAGUUUGUAGAAAGAAGUUGUUAAUGUUAGUAUGCUUUUUGAAUCAAUUGUGAAUAUUGUUAGAAUAAUUGUUGGUAUUGUUAUUGAUAUUUUGGCCGAGUUAGAUUCUCGGAUUUGUUGUUGUAUGUUUGGCCGAGUUGAAUUCUCGGAGAUGUUGCAUUUACAGGGGAAAUGCUGCUGAAAUUUCUGUAGAAUAAAUGUUGUUUUAGAAUUGGACUCUAAGUGUCUAUGGCUAAUGUUGGCACAUGUGAAUAUUGUUGUAGAUCUUGCGAAGCGAAAGACUUAAGUUCGGAUUAGCAUAGAAAGCGGGCAAGGUACAGACAUUUGUGUGAGUGACCCGACAGCUUAGGCUAUCUGUUCUGCUGCCUUGGAGUGCUCCCUUGUUCUGGAGCCUAUAUUUUGGUACAGACUCUUCCGUUAUAUAUAUGUAUGUGCAUAUUCAGGGGUACGGCGGGGCCCUGUCCCGUCAUUUGAUUCUGUUAUGUUUGUUAGAGGCCUGUAGACAUAUAUGUGGGUCAUGGGUCGUUAUUGUUCGGUUAUGUCUGUGAUUUGCGUCUAAGCGGUCCUAUUUGCUAUGACAGCCUUAAUGGCUUGUUUGUAUAUAUAUACUUGUGUAUAUGCUUUGGAUGAUAUGUUCUACGACAGCAUUAGCGGCUUCUA